rnacentral:rRNA from 1 species
UACGGGGGGGGCAAGCGUUGUUCGGAAUUACUGGGCGUAAAGGGCUCGUAGGUGGCCAACUAAGUCAGACGUGAAAUCCCUCGGCUUAACCGAGGAAUUGCGUCUGAUACUGGAUGGCUUGAAUCCGGGAGAGGGAUGCGGAAUUCCAGGUGUAGCGGUGAAAUGCGUAGAUAUCUGGAGGAACACCGGUGGCGAAGGCGGCAUCCUGGACCGACAUUGACGCUGAGGAGCAAAAGCCAGGGGAGCAAACGGG